GGUCAAGUUAUUAAGGGUGCAGGGCGGAUGCCUUGGCACUAGGAGCCGAUGAAGGACGUGAUAAGCUGCGAUAAGCUUCGGGGAGUUGCACGUAAACUUUGAUCCGAAGAUUUCCGAAUGAGGAAACUCACUUAGAGUAAUGUCUAAGUAUCAUUAAGUGAAUACAUAGCUUAAUGAGGGGAACUCAGGGAACUGAAACAUCUAAGUACCUGAAGGAAGAGAAAGAAAUUCGAUUCCGUAAGUAGCGGCGAGCGAACGCGGAUUAGCCCAAACCAAUAAAGUUUUCUUUAUUGGGGUUGCGGACAUAUCAUAACGAAGAGGUAUCGUAAUUGAAGAGGUUUGGAAAGACCCACCACAGAAGGUAAUAGUCCUGUAUGUUAAACGAGAAGACUUCAGAUAUGAUCCAGAGUACCACGGGACACGUGAAACCCUGUGGGAAGCAGGAGGGACCACCCUCCAAGGCUAAAUACUACCUAGUGACCGAUAGCGUAUAGUACCGUGAGGGAAAGGUGAAAAGAACCCCGGGAGGGGAGUGAAAUAGAACCUGAAACCCUGCACUUACAAGCUGUGGAAGCACAUUUCUUGUGUGACCGCGUACUUUUUGUAGAACGGGCCAACGAGUUACGUUAAGUAGCAAGGUUAAGCACUUAAGGUGCGGAGCCGUAGCGAAAGCGAGUUUUAACUGAGCGUUCAGUUACUUGACGUAGACCCGAAACCGGGCGACCUACCCAUGAGCAGGAUGAAGCGAAAGUAAAAUUUCGUGGAGGUCCGAACCCACGAGCGUUGAAAAGCUCGGGGAUGAC
rnacentral:rRNA from 1 species